AUCCCAACUCUUCACUUUCAUUGUUGUCUACAGGUUAUGCUGUCUUUUAUACUAUCACUGCACCCAGUGUAUUUUCUACAGGUCAAUAUAAACUGUAGUGUAAAUGUGCCAAGAAAGAAUGCUGUUUAAACUGUGUCCUUGGAUAAAAUGCUCUUUAGAAACGGAGAAGCAAAAACCCACAAAAAUCAGAAACUGCUGCCAUCAGUACUCACCACUGAAAGGCCACACAAGGGAUCCCCAGGAACAGGCUGGACUUGUCUGGAGGCAAGGGACUGAAUUCCAUUAGGAGAGCAGGCAAGUAGAAACAGCAAGUGCCAACACUACCUUUCUCCAGCUCAUCUCAUUUGCAGACACACAGAUUUUGGAAUCCUCCAGGACUAACAAUGAAAACCACACUAGGUUGUUUUCUCCAAUUCCUAUGAAAUGAGUCAGGAGGUCAAACAACUUCUCCACUCGGGAGAGACAACAAUUUCUGAAGCUGCACUCACUGUUUCCAGUAACUGGAUUCCUUCUCUUUCCCCUCUAGAUAAAAGUACUGCCAAUCAUCUGUGGAGAGCCCACUGGGUUCUGAAUGAGACACAUCACAGAUACUGCCAGAAGGGUUAGUAUCCUUCAUGGGGUAGUUUCCCCUUGCAGAUAGUCAGGAAGACAAAAAUCCAGUUAGGAGUAACACGUGGAUGAAGUUUCUUCAGUUAAAAAGAGUUGGCAAAACUUUUUCUUUGUUGAAACCAUAUAGUCAUUUCCUUCACACAAGAAAAUGGGAGUGAUAGUUAAAAUAAAUACAGAUGGGCAGUAACUGCAGUAACUGGGCUUUUUAAACUUUUAAAAGCCCCUUACAAAUGGCUUCCGUCAGUAAAAUAGCCUUUCUUCCUCAAAGGGACUAGUAUAUUCAAAAGAUUCAACGAUUAUUCAAUUAAUCCAUGUUCUGAAAACCUUUCACAGGCUUCUAUGAGUCCUGCAGUUCCAUCCACUAAAUCAUACAAAGCAGAAGUAUUUAAGAGCUUGCUAGCAGUCCUCUGAAUCCAUGACUCAAAAGAGGAUGAGCCCUGGGUUAGCAACAAUCUUCAGAAUCCACCACCUACUCACCACACGUAACAUUUCUUGUAGUUAGCGACCUUCUUCACAGGAGAUCAAUCAGCUACUAGCAACGAAUCCGUAAUUCCAAGGACUCCUACAGUGUAGGCAAGUACUAAUACUCGGGCGUGUGUCGCCACACGCAGGCACACAGACCUUCCGCGACAGCGCGUCAGGAGGAGACUGGAAGUACUUUUGCUUUCUGUAUCGAGAGUACUUUCUUUCCUUUUAAAGAGGAGGUUUCGUUUUGAUCUUGAGACAUUCUCUCUGAUAAAACCACCAACUGAAAACCUGCCAUUAUAAACGAGGGAUUUCACAACAUUCAUUCCAAAAAAAAACCGUGGCUAUUCAUUUCUGGAAGUGACUCACUGCAGAAGAAUCACUGGCAGUGGAGGGAGCGUUAAUUUUUAGAAGACAGCCCGCCCUCUGAGAAGUGAGCAGAAACCUCAGCGCCGGCGGCAGCCACGUGCCUUGCAGACCCCCCAUCACAGCUUCCUGAAUCACCACCACCAAGAUGACGCGCGAUGACCAAUUUCCUCUUGUAACUCUCUCAGUACACAAAAAUCCUUCGGUCUGUACGCCCUGAAUAUUCCCCUGCUCCGGCGCAAAGGUUCAAAGAAAUCUGAGCGAUGGCAGCAACACUUCUCCACCUGUCAACGCUCAGCUGCCGGCGAGUAACCAGCAUAUGGAUACUCACUUCCUAUUUCAAAUAUGGAAACCAUCUUCCCCACCCUGGGUGCUGAGAACACCAAAGGCACAGCCUCCGGGUGCCAUCCCCAUGGUCUGUGAGGAGAGAGAACAUUUUCAGAUUUGUGAUGGGGGCAGAAAAACACGUAUCGUAACACCGUCACAUGAAUACUGACCACGUGAUUUUUGCACCAAAGCACCCCUUGAAAACCAACCGUGAAGGGCUAAAAUAUGACCUUUUGUAUUUCUCUUGUCUUUAACCAAACCUGAUCACUUCAGAGAAGAGUUUCUUGACAACUGGGCAAACUAAGAAAAACUGCUUUUAUCCCAUCUUAAACGUCAGAGCUCGUUUUCUGACGGGACGAGUAGACAUUUUGCUAAGAGAUGAGCUUAAAAAAAAAAAAGCCUGCCCUUUAUUUUCAGGCUGUUAAUGUGCUUCUAUUUAGGUACGAAUAGGGGGGCACGGGAGUGGAGGAGCUCAUGAAGGCAGGAGGAGAAAAGCACAAGCUUCCACUUAAUGGGGCUGAAGAAGAAAAAUAAACAGAUCUAAUGUGUUCACGUUAUCUGUUAUACAGCACCACUAAGCCCUCAAUUUCUAAUGUAGCAACACUGACAUUUCUACUCUAGCGUCUGUAUUUCUCAUUUUUUGAACACUCAAGAUAAACACAAAGAAUAUAUGUGCAAAAUUUAAUAAAACCAUCUGUGUAUUAUAUUCUUGAGGGAAAUUUUCAUGAAUGUGAAAUGUUUUUACACUUUUACCAAAACUGAUGUUUUAAAAAGAAGAGUAUGGAAACCAUUUGCAUGGUGUGAAUAUAACCUUCAAAUUGAGGAUGAGUUAAAAAAAAACAGCAUCAAUAAACAUCCUUAAGGAUUUCAUUAAAAACCAACUAUAUUACUGAACAGUCAUCUCUCUGCCCUCACUCCCAAGACCUCAUCAUGAAUUUGCUCGCUGUCAAGAGGCCCUCUCUGUAUGACGUCUAAAGAUUAACCCUACAUGGAGGGCAGUUUUAAAUAUCUACAAUUUAAAAAACCUUAUUGAUACUGAGCUUGGUGAAUGAUUAGAGGCCAGACAACUACCCGAAUGUUAGAUCAGCUAAUUUCCCCUCCCACUGUGUCACGCACAUACACAUGCUCGAAGUUCUCCAAGGUUCUGAGCAGUGUGUUCCUGCUUCAGACCGUGCUGUAUAUGAGAGUUCCUCUGAAGUCCUGGGUGACCCAUGCAGAGGUUUCAAAAAGAGAAAGGAAAACAGAGCGAAACAGAAUAAAGAUGACAAAAAAUACAUGCUGGGGGGCCAGCAGGGAGAAUAUGAACUGAACAGGUGUGGCUGCUAAGGAGAAGGCACUGCCCCCUGGGAACUCCUUUGAAUGGGGAAGGUGGCGGGGACUGUUUCUAAG
ensembl:lncRNA